GGAAAAUAUUUUAUUGUUGAAAAUAAAGUCAACGGAAGAAGUUCAACGGCUCCGUUAAUAAAGUCGUGUAACUUCACCAAUCACGGACUUUUUUUUGUGAUGUGAUGUUUUUAAGUUCACUAAGCUAAUAUAAGAACAGAACACUAUUCAAUUGUUCAAUACCGAACACAAACAACACACAACAAUGUUUUGCUAACUUAGGUUCCAUUUGGGCCUAGUUCGAAUCAAUUAACCUGCCAAACUACCGGUGUGAUAUUUUAAUCCAGUUAGCUUCACAGCUCGACAAACAAAAUUCCCCGGACACGUCGCUGUUUGUGAACUCAUUCGUAAAGUAUAACUCCCUAAUACUUCGUUCUAAGGGAGGAAGAAGGGAAGGAAGAAAAAAAGAAAGAAGAAGAAUAAAGAAAGAACUUCAGUACAUUAAAAAUACACCUGACAACGAAGAUGCCAUGAUUGGAAAAACUGGAAGGAUGGACACAGUAUUUAAGCGGAGGACAGAUGGAGACACAGGUGGAGACUCAGAAGAUUGCUUUCGGCGGCGGCGCUGUCAGGAUCUGAUUCAACAGGAGUCCGUCUGGCCUGGUUCCAUCUUGAUGGAUCUGAUUCCUUGUGAGCAGGUGGUCUCAUAGGGGGAUUUGCAGGCCCUUACUGUUCAUACUGUUCAUACUUCAAGCGAUCUAUUUUCUUAUAUCUGAUCUGGUCAGGGUCCAAAACUGCCCGUCUGCAUGCAGCUCAGGGCCCCACAGCGUCCCAGUGGGAGUGUCAUCAGCUCACCGGCCCUGGGCUCUCGCUCAGCUAACAAGAAAAACCUUUGUUUAGCUUAAUACAUAAAAUGUUUGUAGUUGGACUCUUGGGUGCAAGAGAAAAAAAAAUCAGAGUUUUGUUAAUACAUUUUUUUCUGUUCAUUCAGUGGAAAGGAGCAACAGAAAAAUGUUUAACGUGUCUGUGGCUCAUUAAGCGGUGUAGUUGUAUGACAUUCAGAUGGUUGUGGGAUCUAGUCCAGACCUGGUGGGUUUUACUCAGCCCAUCCGGUAGCCUUGCUGUCACUAGACAAUUGGCAGACGCUGUGAUGUAAAGCGCUUCAAGAUUGAAUCCAAAAUAUAGUUGAAGUGAUUAUUUAUCUUUUUCAAAACGACGUUUAAAUAAUAAUAAUGACUAAAUCAGAUUUAUUCUGUUCAUUUCAUAUAAACUGUUUGAUCCUGGCCACACAUGACAAAUGUUGUGAGGGAGCUUUACAGCAAGCAGGUCACUGGUUCCCUGGUUCGGUCUUGGUCGUUCUUUCUGUGUGGAGUUCACACCGAUGUGGUCGUCCAGUGACAUGAUGGUGGCAGCAGUGACCCCUCAGCUCUUUUGAGCCCUGCUUCAAACUGUCAUGAGAUGAGCACGUACAGCACGAACUGAUGCUAACCACAACCAUAUCAGUAGAAACCUCUUCUCCUUGUUGGUUUCCAGCAGUAAAAUACAAAAGACAUGCUGUCAGUUUGUGAAGAGAAAUGGCACAUCCCUUGACGUCCCCCCGUGAUCCACCAGAUCAUAAGAGCUUAGGAAGUGCUCUGGAGUACCUCCUGUCCCGACACCAACAAAGGACACAGCCUAAAACUCACAUAGGUGUUUGCCAGCCUGUGCAUACCCACUUCACACUCUGCUGCAUUUGCACCCUCUAUAGAACACAUUCCACCGAGGGUGUCGGGUCAGUUCAGGCGCUGAAGGACACGCAGCGGUUUGCAGGCUGCAAUAAUUUGUUUAACCUCUGAUUAGGCCCCGGAAUGUCAACUAUGAGGACACACUACAGGUCCCGACAGCAUCGUUUGACACUCUGGCAAUCUGUCAUUUCCCAUGAGCAAUCGAGCACAGCGAGAGACAAUAGCCACUCCAGCGACUGCAGAGAGGGAGGUCUAAUCUUUUCACCAUCUGGUUUGGUCUUAAAACAGGCGGAAGAGAGCGGGUGCUUCCAUCUUUGUCAUAUAUCUGGAGACGUUCCGUGUCAAUAAACUUGUUAUGUAUGAGCCAGGGUACAGUACAGGAUUUGUGCAGAAGGAUUAAAAAACCUAUUUUAAAGCUAAGGAAUAUCCACCCUAAGCAGCAGAUGUUCAAAGUUGUAU